GACGAACGCUGGCGGCGUGCUUAACACAUGCAAGUCGAACGGUGAAGCGCCUUCCUUUUUGGUGGGUGUGGAUGAGUGGCGAACGGGUGAGUAACACGUGAGUAACCUGCUCCCUUCUUCUGGAUAACCGCAAGAAAGUGUUACUAAUACGGGAUAUUUUGAGUCUGUCGCAUGAUGGGUCUGAGAAAGAUUUUGUGUCGGUGGGGGAUGGGCUCGCGGAUUAUCAGCUUGUUGGUGGGGUGAUGGCCUACCAAGGCGGUGAUGAGUAGCCGGCCUGAGAGGGUGGGCGGGAACGAGAGGAAGGAGACGCGGACAAGACUACGACAGGAGGCAGCAGGGAAGAAUAUUGAAAAAUGGGAGAAAGGAUGAUGCAGCGCCGCGGCGGGAGUGAUGGAGGCCUUCGGGUUGUGAUCUCUUUUCGGGAGAGAAGCAGGCCUGACUCGUUUGUGGGUGGGUUGACGGUAGCUGGAUAAGAAGCGCCGGCUAACUACGUG
rnacentral:rRNA from 1 species